rnacentral:lncRNA from 1 species
CUAUUAAGUACUGACAAACUGCCACGCUCUCAACCGAGCUACCUUCGUUCUCCAAUCGCCCAUCAAGAACAAAAAUGGCCGUUUCUUCCUCCUCCGUCCUCUUCCUCUGUCUCCUCAGCCUUGCCCAACCCCUCCACAGCCUUUCCGCCUCGCCAUACCUCUUCCCCAGUACCCUUUUCGACAACUACGAAAAGAUGCUCACCACUUUCAGAAUUUACAUGUACACCCCGCAGAAGCCCUUCACCUUUACAACACCGCCGCUGUCUCUCUUCCACACCUCUCUCCUCAACAGUCCAUUUCUCACUCAAAACGCAGACGAAGCUCACCUCUUCUACAUUUCCUUUCCUCCAGACCUCUCCACGCGCUCGCGUGCGCGUCUUGUUAGACACCUCAGAAUCAGUUAUCCUUACUGGAACCGCACUCUGGGUGCUGACCACUUUUUCAUGGCGCCUGGCGGCGUUGACUCUUCGUCGGACCGAAACGCCGUCGAACUGAAGAAAAAUUCUGUUCAGAUUUCCAUUUUUCCGACCGCCUC